UCUCCGGUUGAUCCCGCCGGACCCGACUGCUAUCAGAGUGGGACUAAGCCAUGCGAGUCAACAUAGCAAUAUGUGGCAUACGGCUCAGUAACACGUAGUCAACAUGCCCAGGGGACGUGGAUAACCUCGGGAAACUGAGGAUAAACCGCGAUAGGUCAUCACUUCUGGAAUGGGUAAUGACUUAAAUCUAUAUGGCCCCUGGAUUGGACUGCGGCCGAUCAGGCUGUUGGUGAGGUAAUGGCCCACCAAACCUGUAACCGGUACGGGCUCUGAGAGGAGGAGCCCGGAGAUGGGCACUGAGACAAGGGCCCAGGCCCUAUGGGGCGCAGCAGGCGCGAAACCUCUGCAAUAGGCGAAAGCUUGACAGGGUUACUCUGAGUGAUUUCCGUUAAGGAGAUCUUUUGGCACCUCUAAAAAUGGUGCAGAAUAAGGGGUGGGCAAGUCUGGUGUCAGCCGCCGCGGUAAUACCAGCACCCCGAGUGGUCGGGACGUUUAUUGGGCCUAAAGCAUCCGUAGCCGGUUCUACAAGUCUUCCGUUAAAUCCACCUGCUUAACAGAUGGGCUGCGGAAGAUACUAUAGAGCUAGGAGGCGGGAGAGGCAAGCGGUACUCGAUGGGUAGGGGUAAAAUCCGUUGAUCCAUUGAAGACCACCAGUGGCGAAGGCGGCUUGCCAGAACGCGCUCGACGGUGAGGGAUGAAAGCUGGGGGAGCAAACCGGAUUAGAUACCCGGGUAGUCCCAGCUGUAAACGAUGCAGACUCGGUGAUGAGUUGGCUUAUUGCUAACUCAGUGCCGCAGGGAAGCCGUUAAGUUUGCCGCCUGGGGAGUACGGUCGCAAGACUGAAACUUAAAGGAAUUGGCGGGGGAGCA
rnacentral:rRNA from 1 species